rnacentral:tRNA from 1 species
AGUCCCGUAGUGUAGUGGUCCAUCAUGGAGGAUUUUGGUUCCUCCGACCCUGGUUCGAAUCCGGGCGGGACUACCA